AACGAACGCUGGCGGCAUGCCUAACACAUGCAAGUCGAACGAACCCUUCGGGGUUAGUGGCGCACGGGUGCGUAACGCGUGGGAAUCUGCCCUUUGCUUCGGAAUAACUCAGGGAAACUUGUGCUAAUACCGGAUGAUGUCUUCGGACCAAAGAUUUAUCGGCAAGGGAUGAGCCCGCGUAGGAUUAGGUAGUUGGUGGGGUAAAGGCCUACCAAGCCGACGAUCCUUAGCUGGUCUGAGAGGAUGAUCAGCCACACUGGGACUGAGACACGGCCCAGACUCCUACGGGAGGCAGCAGUGGGGAAUAUUGGACAAUGGGCGCAAGCCUGAUCCAGCAAUGCCGCGUGAGUGAUGAAGGCCCGCGGGUCGUAAAGCUCUUUUACCAAGGAUGAUAAUGACAGUACCUGGAGAAUAAGCUCCGGCUAACUCCGUG
rnacentral:rRNA from 1 species